rnacentral:misc_RNA from 1 species
GAUACCCUUCUUCUCCACCA